rnacentral:rRNA from 1 species
AAUUCCCGCAACGAGCCCACCCCUUUCCAUUAGUUGCCACCUUUAGUUGGGCCAUUUAAGGGGAACGCCGGGGGUAAACCGGGAGGAAGGUGGGGAUGACGUCAAGUCCUCAUGGCCCUUACGGGGUGGGCUACACACGUGCUACAAUGGCGGUGACAAGGGGAUGCAACCCGGCAAGCCGGAGCUAAUCCCUAAAAGCCGUCUCAGUUCGGAUUGCACUCUGCAACUCGAGUGCAUGAAG